rnacentral:lncRNA from 1 species
CAUAAAAAUUACAUUUUAUGAAAUCUGAUAUAGUCAUUCAUUACAAUGAAUCUGUUUGUUUUGUUAUUUUGUAUAGCAUUUUAAGUUAUUAAAAGUAAGAAAUUUUUUUUUUUUAGUAUUUAAAAAAAAAAAAUGUCGAAAAUUUGAAUUGCCUAUGGAUGUACUAAAGUCGUAUUACGACCGAGCAUGUAUAUCGCACUAUUAUAUCCAUUGUAGGGAAUUUUUUUCUUCUUCGCUUCACCACCUACCUACCGUUACAAUUUUCUGCACAGAUAACCACACAUUUUGGCCGAUAGCCAGGUGCAAAGGCACUCCGAGUUUGUUCCAGAACGGUUUAGUGCGGCGACGGUAUGAAAAAAAAUAAAAAUAAUAAUAAAAAAUUGUGCGCUGACAAAAAAAAAAAAAAAAAAUUUAAUAUUCGUCUUAUUUUACAGUAUCCGAAUUGGCGAAAUAUCGGAAAUACGCUCGUUAAAGUUAAUAAUUAUUUAUUUAUUAAUAAAAAUUCUGUCGGCGCGCGUUUAUUAAAUUAUAUGAAAGAAUAAACAAAAACAACAAUUUUUAAAAGGACGUUGGCGUCGUCGCUUUUCGUUUUCGGCACCAGAUGGCAGCAGUUUCCUAGCAGACGACGACGCGGGAGCGAUCAUCGUCGUCGUAAAUUAGAAAAUCCGUCCGGCAUGCGUAGCUAAUGCGACGACAGGAAGUAACGUAAUAAUAAAUAACAGAAAAAAAAAAAGCGAAUGACGAUGUUAACGACGAUAAAACGAGUGAAAAAAAAAAAAAAUUAUCUGUCGAUCGACUGUGUGUUAUCUGGUAAAACUGGAAGACUUUAUGACCUUUAAAAAUCGG